GAUGAAGAACGUAGUGAAUUGCGAUAUGUAAUGUGAAUUGCAGAAUUCAGUGAAUCAUCGAAUCUUUGAACGCACAUUGCGCCCGCCAGUAUUCUGGCGGGCAUGCCUGUCCGAGCGUCAUUUCAACCCUCGAACCCCUCCGGGGGGUCGGCGUUGGGGAUCGGCCCUUUCACCGGGUGCCGGCCCCUAAAUACAGUGGCGGUCUCGCCGCAGCCUCUCAUGCGCAGUAGUUUGCACACUCGCACCGGGAGCGCGGCGCGUCCUCGUCCGUAAAACACCCCAAACUUCUGAAAUGUUGACCUCGGAUCAGGUAGGAAUACCCGCUGAACUUAAGCAUAUCAAUAAGCGGAGGA
rnacentral:misc_RNA from 1 species